UUUAACGUUGCGAGGGAGGACGGCAAAGCAGCGCGGGGACAGAUCCGUCCCUUCUGCGUGUGCCUGUGUGGGCAGGGCACGUCCUCCUUGCGCUGGCACCGCUCGCGCGGAAGAGCGAGCUGGAAUUCUCGCCACUUCCGAACUCCGGGAUUCCUCCAGACUUUCUCUGAAACCUGACAAGCUACUGCCUUGGUACCCGGAGCACAGAGAAAGGUGACACGAAAGCCCGAGCCCGAAGGGGAGCAGAGGGACGGCCGCCGGCC
rnacentral:lncRNA from 1 species